GCAGUGGCAACAGUGCAGAAUACACGUUGAAGAUGAUAAUGACACUAAAGUCAAGGGAUCUCCCAGUCAUCACUUGGAGGAGCACCAAGCAAUCCAUAUUGAUCUUUCAGGACCCCAGCUAACUUUGGCCCGCUGACAUCACAGAUAUACUGAAUGGAUGCAAGGAUUAAGGCAAAGCCGCGUGGGGAUGAGAAAACUGAUUAUCAGGGAGUUGUGAAAUCAUCAUCAAAUAAUGUUUGCCCAGGAAAGGUGGCUGAUCUAUGCAACAUUUGUGCACAUCUCUGUUUGGACCUGCAACCUCUGAAGUACUUCACAGUUAUUUAAGAUUUUGAGACUGUGAUUGACUGUCAGUAACUGUAAUGGCAGAAAGGAAACCAUGCAUCAGGGGGUCUACUGUACUUGGUUCAGCUACUGGACAACUUUUAUGUACGUUCGGAACCACUUGGGCAUUGGAUGCUGGGGUGAGCCACGCACUGCCUAUAAAAGAGGAUAGAGGCACCUGAAUGGUCUGAAAUAACCGAUUGAUCAAGACAUCGCUUUUCCCUGACAUAUCCAGGUGUCACAAUAUUCAUGUAAUUAUGACCAUCAGGCACACCUUCACAUUGGCAAUGGAGGGAAUCCCCUUGGAAGUCAGAGCCAUCCUUGAAACUCACCCAUCAGGCCCUUACACCAGCAGAUGGGAGACCGAAGCCUGGACGACAGUCACCACCAAGCUGCCCUAUCCCUGGCUCCCACUUGGACUCUCCAGACAAGAGAUUCUUAUCUAUCAAAGGGACUACAUUUGAUGAGACAAACACUGGGUUAGAUGCAUGGGGGACUCAAAAUGCAAAAGUAUAAAGUUGAGAACAGCUCUUUGCUUAUAGUUCUUUGAAUAUAGGUUUACAGUUGUGAGUACAUAAAAUACUGAGUUAAUAAAGCAA